GACGAACGCUGGCGGCGUGCUUAACACAUGCAAGUCGAACGGGAGUAUCAAAGAAGCUUGCUUUUAAGAUACUUUAGUGGCGGACGGGUGAGUAACGCGUGAGGAGCUGUCCUAUGCAGGGGGACAACAGUUGGAAACGACUGCUAAUACCCCAUAAGCCGAGAGGUAAAAGGAUUUAUCCGGCAAUGGAGGUACUCGCGUCCUAUCAGCUAGUAGGUGAGGUAACGGCUCACCUAGGCGAAGACGGGUAGCCGGCCUGAGAGGGCGAACGGCCACACUGGAACUGAGAUACGGUCCAGACUCCUACGGGAGGCAGCAGUGGGGAAUAUUGGGCAAUGGGGGGAACCCUGACCCAGCGACGCCGCGUGGGUGAAGAAAUCCUUCGGGAUGUAAAGCCCUGUUGUAUGGGAAGAGCGGAAGACGGUACCAUACGAGGAAGCCCCGGCAAACUACGUGCCAGCCGCCGCCGUAA
rnacentral:rRNA from 1 species